UACGUAGGGCGCAAGCGUUGUCCGGAAUUAUUGGGCGUAAAGAGCUCGUAGGCGGUUUGUCGCGUCUGCUGUGAAAACCCGAGGCUCAACUCCGGAUCUGCGGUGGGUACGGGCAGACUAGAGUGAUGUAGGGGAGACUGGAAUUCCUGGUGUAGCGGUGAAAUGCGCAGAUAUCAGGAGGAACACCGAUGGCGAAGGCAGGUCUCUGGGCAGUGGCUGACGCUGAGGCGCGACAGCGUGGGGAGCAAACAGG
rnacentral:rRNA from 1 species